UCAUGUAACUGUAUGUUACUGAAUUCUUUGAUUAUAUUAAUUAAACCCAACUGUUUCUCAUUUUUCAAGGCUUAAAAGUACACGUCUCUCAUGUCUAACCAGUGCAUUUUAUGUUUUUCUAAGCUUUGAUAUUCCGUUAUUAAAAUUAAUAUAUAUUCUAUAUAAUUACUAUAUACAGUAAGCGUUGGGGAAACUAAGUUACGAUUUUGUUAUUUACAAAAAUUUUUCACGUAAAUUUCGAUACAAAAACAAUCCACAAACUCAGUUGUGACAAUGUUUAAAGAUGAUGUCCACUCCGUUCUGCGCAUCAGUUCAGCUCAUAAUAAAUGGGGACCCCCAGAUAUAAACAUGCACUGCCCAAAUUUUGCAUUUUUCGAACUUUUUUGAAUUGAAACGUAGAGUUUAUAUUCA